GGCACCAUGGCUUAGCUGGUUAAAGCACCUGUCUUAUAAACAGAAAAUUCUGGGUUCAAUUCUCAGUGGUGCCU